rnacentral:rRNA from 1 species
UACGUAGGGCGCAAGCGUUGUCCGGAAUUAUUGGGCGUAAAGAGCUCGUAGGCGGCUUGUCACGUCGGGUGUGAAAGCCCGGGGCUUAACCUUCAGAGGUCGACCGAAACCAUCUGGCUAGAGUCCGGGAGAGGAGAGUGGAAUUCCUGGUGUAGCGGUGAAAUGCGCAGAUAUCAGGAAGAACACCCGUGGCGAAAGCGGCUCUCUGGACCGACAUUGACGCUGAGGCGCGAAAGCGUGGGGAGCAAACAGG